rnacentral:lncRNA from 1 species
GCUUUUUCGCUGCCUCCUCAUCCUCGUCGAGUGUUGGAAUUUCAUAUGGUGCUCAUGUUAGAAAGUCAGGUAGGCAACAUGCAUAAAUUUCAAAAAUCUUUUUGAUUGUAGCAAAAAAAUAAUCAGAUUAAACCCUUUAACCCCCACAUGUAAUAGAUCUCAUCUAAUCCUAUCCAAGCCCAGGAGAAAAGAUAUAUAUAUAUAUAAUCUGAAAAUAAAAAUAAGUAUGAGAUCAAAUCUCAAUAACGUAGCGCAAGUAGAAAUUCACUACAAUCGAUGAUCUCGGG